UCGUGAUCCCUGGAGGAAGCAUGAGUCUGUCAUUCUCGAUGGUGUUUUCUGGAAGAUACAAAAUACAAGCAUCAAAGGAUGACGUGAAUGGGGAGAAAAAUUUAUCUGGCUGAGGAGAGAGUCCACCCCCAGGAACUCCCUGGUGAAAACAGAGGAAGAGCCCUCACAAGUUGUUCUCUGACCUCCACAUAUACCAAGGUAGAUGUGUCCACACUGACACAAUAAAGACAUAUAAAGGUAAGA